rnacentral:rRNA from 1 species
UUCCAGACUCCUACGGGAGGCAGCAGUGAGGAAUAUUGGUCAAUGGCCGAGAGGCUGAACCAGCCAAGUCGCGUGAGGGAAGACUGCCCUAUGGGUUGUAAACCUCUUUUGUCAGGGAGCAAUUGGCGCUACGUGUAGCGUUAUCGAGAGUACCUGAAGAAAAAGCAUCGGCUAACUCCGUGCCAGCAGCCGCGGUAAUACGGAGGAUGCGAGCGUUAUCCGGAUUUAUUGGGUUUAAAGGGUGCGUAGGCGGAAUGCCAAGUCAGCGGUAAAAUCGCGGGGCUCAACCUCGCUCCGCCGUUGAAACUGGCGUUCUUGAGUGGGCGAGAAGUAUGCGGAAUGCGUGGUGUAGCGGUGAAAUGCAUAGAUAUCACGCAGAACUCCGAUUGCGAAGGCAGCAUGCCGGCUCCACACUGACGCUGAGGCACGAAAGCGUGGGUAUCGAACAGGAUUAGAUACCCGUGUAUU